GCACCGGAAAAGCACCACAACGCGCCCUCCGAAGGCAGAGGUCACAGGUUCGAAUCCUGUCGGGUGCGCCA
rnacentral:tRNA from 1 species